rnacentral:rRNA from 1 species
UUCGGCCACAUCACGUUGAAGCACCGGUUUCCGAACGAUUACCGAAGUUAAGUAACAUCGAGUCUGGUCAGUACCUAGAUGGGUGACUGCUUGGGAAUACUUUGUGCUGUAAG